CCUGGCGGCACUAGCGCGGUGGUCCCACCUGACCCCAUGCCGAACUCAGAAGUGAAACGCCGUAGCGCCGAUGGUAGUGUGGGGUCUCCCCAUGUGAGAGUAGGGAACUGCCAGAC
rnacentral:rRNA from 2 species